GGCUUCUCCUCUCCGAGCCACGUGGCUGCAGAGGCCUCUUUGUUGGUGGCGGUUUUGCAUGUCUAACAGCAUCCAGUUCACCACCUCCGCUUCAGCUCCCACACUCUCAUCACGGCCCACAUCCCCAAUGGAGCCAGCAUCACGGACGAGGACUUGACCGCUCACCAAAGGCACAGAGGCAUUAUCUACGCCUACGAAUUCUCCACGGACAAGCUGGUGGCAGAGAGCGUCCUUCCUAUCUGCCGCUCCUCUUACAACGAAGUGGCCGGCUACAGCUACAACAUUGGCCUUAUGGUCCCCUAUGACAACAUCUAGGCAGGGUGGGAAGAAGGGAAGUCCAGCUGAGCUGGACCCUGGAGAAGGAGAACCCCAAGGAUGGCGUUCCUGCAGACCUCUUUGGAGGGCUCGGAAGCCACGGGUUGGCCAAGCAGGCAGCAGAAUAAGGGGGGGCACAUGGGGGUCUCCCCAAAGCUUUAAUAACAGCGCUGUGGGAGCGAAGAAGAGAUGGUGGCUAACAGGGACCAUGAUAGAUAGGCAAGAAUCAGGAGAUGAUAAUGAAGGCUUUAGCCCAAGAAUCAGGAGGUAGUAAGACAGAUUGUAGCCCACAUAUGCAGACAUCAUUCUGGGGGAAGGGAAGGCUUCCAUUCCUUGCACCUAGCUAAAAUAGUUCAGUGCUGCCUUUCUGGAACAGACGCCGAUGCUACUUGCAACAUCUGGAGAUCUUAAGAAGAAGAAGAGACUUUGGGAGCGUUUUUCUUGUAAAUAAAAUACCUUUAUUAAACAUUGGUCUCGGGAUGAGG